CCUACGGGUGGCUGCAGUCGAGAAUCUUUCGCAAUGGGCGCAAGCCUGACGAAGCGACGCCGUGUGAGCGAAGAAGGCCUUCGGGUUGUAAAGCUCUUUCGCUAGGGAACAAGAAAGGGGCAUUAAUAACGCCUCAAUUUGAUGGUACUUGGUAAAGAAGCACCGGCUAACUCCGUGCCAGCAGCUGCGGUAAUACGGAGGGUGCAAGCAUUGAUCGGAAUUAUUGGGCGUAAAGGGCGCGUAGGCGGCCUGGCAAGUCAGAUGUGAAAUUCCGCGGCUCAACUGCGGAGCUGCAUUUGAAACUACCAGACUGGAGCAUAGUUAGGGAAAACGGAAUUCCACGUGUAGCGGUGAAAUGCGUAGAUAUGUGGAAGAACACCAGUGGUGAAGACGGUUUUCUGGGCUAUAGCUGACGCUGAGGCGCGAAAGCUAGGGGAGCAAACAGGAUUAGAUACCCUUGUAGUC
rnacentral:rRNA from 1 species